rnacentral:rRNA from 1 species
UACGGGGGGGGCAAGCGUUGUUCGGAAUUACUGGGCGUAAAGGGCUCGUAGGCGGCCAACUAAGUCGGAUGUGAAAUCCCCGGGCUCAACCCGGGAACUGCGUCCGAUACUGGCAGGCUUGAAUCCGGGAGAGGGAUGUGGAAUUCCAGGUGUAGCGGUGAAAUGCGUAGAUAUCUGGAGGAACACCGGUGGCGAAGGCGGCAUCCUGGACCGGUAUUGACGCUGGAGGCGCGAAAGCCAGGGGAGCAAACGGG